rnacentral:rRNA from 1 species
AUGCAAGUCGACGAUGAUGCCCAGCUUGCUGGGUUGAUUAGUGGCGAACGGGUGAGUAACACGUGAGUAACCUGCCCCUGACUCUGGGAUAAGCGUUGGAAACGACGUCUAAUACUGGAUAUGAUCGCCGGCCGCAUGGUCUGGUGGUGGAAAGAUUUUUUGGUUGGGGAUGGACUCGCGGCCUAUCAGCUUGUUGGUGAGGUAAUGGCUCACCAAGGCGACGACGGGUAGCCGGCCUGAGAGGGUGACCGGCCACACUGGGACUGAGACACGGCCCAGACUCCUACGGGAGGCAGCAGUGGGGAAUAUUGCACAAUGGGCGAAAGCCUGAUGCAGCAACGCCGCGUGAGGGAUGACGGCCUUCGGGUUGUAAACCUCUUUUAGUAGGGAAGAAGCGAAAGUGACGGUACCUGCAGAAAAAGCACCGGCUAACUACGUGCCAGCAGCCGCGGUAAUACGUAGGGUGCAAGCGUUGUCCGGAAUUAUUGGGCGUAAAGAGCUCGUAGGCGGUUUGUCGCGUCUGCUGUGAAAUCCCGAGGCUCAACCUCGGGCUUGCAGUGGGUACGGGCAGACUAGAGUGCGGUAGGGGAGAUUGGAAUUCCUGGUGUAGCGGUGGAAUGCGCAGAUAUCAGGAGGAACACCGAUGGCGAAGGCAGAUCUCUGGGCCGUAACUGACGCUGAGGAGCGAAAGCAUGGGGAGCGAACAGGAUUAGAUACCCUGGUAGUCCAUGCCGUAAACGUUGGGCGCUAGAUGUAGGGACCUUUCCACGGUUUCUGUGUCGUAGCUAACGCAU